rnacentral:rRNA from 1 species
GAAAGUUACUAAGGGCGCACGGGGGAUGCCUUGGCUCUCAGAGGCGAUGAAGGACGUGAUAAGCUGCGAUAAGCGUCGGGGAGGUGCAAAUAACCUUUGAUCCGGCGAUCUCCCAAUGGGGUAACCCAUCCGUUUGAAGACGGAUAUCUGCUCUAUAGCAGAAGCUAACGCAGGGAACUGAAACAUCUUACUACCUGCAGGAAAAGAAAACAAUAGUGAUUUCCUAAGUAGUGGCGAGCGAACGGGAAAAAGCCCAAACCACAAUUGUUAUGGCAAUUGUGGGGUUGUAGGACUGCCAUCUCAGCCAAAUUACAGAUAUUCGAACACCCCUGGAAAGUGGGGCCAUAGAGGGUGAUAGCCCCGUAGAAAAAAUCUGUAUCCGGCUUCGGCAGUAUCCUGAGUAACGCGAGACCGGAGAAAUCUUGCGCGAAUCUGCCAGCACCAUCUGGUAAGGCUAAAUACUACUGAGAGACCGAUAGCGAAUAAGUACCGUGAGGGAAAGGUGAAAAGUACCCCAAACAGGGGAGUGAAAUAGAACCUGAAACCGUGCGCCUACAAGCGGUCGGAGCGCUGAGUUUAACGAAGCGUGACGGCGUGCCUUUUGCAUAAUGAGCCUACGAGUUACGCCUCUCUGGCAAGGUUAAUUCCGUUAACGGAUGGAGCCGAAGCGAAAGCAAGUCCUAAUAGGGCGCUGAGUCAGAGGGGGUAGACGCGAAACUUUGUGAUCUACCCAUGGCCAGGCUGAAGUCCCGGUAACACGGGAUGGAGGGCCGAACCGGUAAACGUUGAAACGUCUUCGGAUGAGCUGUGGGUAGGGGUGAAAGGCUAAUCAAACUGAGAGAUAGCUCGUACUCCCCGAAAUGUUUUUAGGAACAGCCUGGGGUAUACUGUCUUAGAGGUAGAGCUACUGAUUGGAUGAGGGGGUCUCACCGCCUGCCAAAUCCUGACAAACUCCGAAUGCUAAGACAUAUUGCCCUGGAGUGAGGCCGUGGGUGCUAAGGUCCAUGGCCGAGAGGGAAACAACCCAGAUCAUCAGCUAAGGUCCCUAAAUGUAUGUUCAGUUGUUCUAACGAGGUCUGAUUGCAUUGACAGCUAGGAUGUUGGCUCGGAAGCAGCCAUUCAUUUAAAGAGUGCGUAACAGCUCACUAGUCGAGCGAUCGGGCGUGGAUAAUAAUCGGGCAUAAACAUACUACCGAAGCUAUGAAACUCUCCCUUAAGGAGAGUUGGUAGGGGAGCAUUCCAGUCUGCACCGAAGGUCCAUCGUAAGAUGAACUGGAGCGUCUGGAAAAGAAAAUGUAGGCAUAAGUAACGAUAAUUCCGGUGAAAAACCGGAACACCGAAAGACUAAGGUUUCCUGAUCAACGCUAAUCGGAUCAGGGUUAGUCGGGACCUAAGGCGUACCCAAACGGGAUAGCUAAUGGACAUCAGGUUAAUAUUCCUGUACUUCCUUACAGUGCUAGGUAGGGACGUGAUCAUCAGGUGCUUACGUACUGACGGAAUAGUGCGUCGAGCCUAGCCUUUGGGCGAAGCAAAAGCAAGUAGUGUUCACCAAGAAAAGCUACCAAAGCUUCAGCUGUAAGGAACUCGUACCGCAAACCGACACAGGUAGUCGAGGAGAAUAUCCAUAGGUGCUCGAGUGAUUCAUGGCUAAGGAACUAGGCAAAUUGACCCUGUAACUUCGGAAGAAAGGGUCCCUGCUUCGGCAGGGCGCAGAGAAAUGGCCCAGGCGACUGUUUAACAAAAACACAUGGCUUUGCUAAAUCGAAAGAUGAUGUAUAAGGCCUGACACCUGCCCGGUGCUGGAAGGUUAAGGGGAGAGGUUAGCCCUCAAGGCGAAGCUUCAAACUGAAGCCCCAGUAAACGGCGGCCGUAACUAUAACGGUCCUAAGGUAGCGAAAUUCCUUGUCGGGUAAGUUCCGACCUGCACGAAUGGUGUAACGAUCUGGGCACUGUCUCAGCCAUGAGCU